UUACAAAAAUGCAUUGAUUUUGGAAAGCUAUCCUAAUUGGUUUGGAUUCAAACAUCAAAACCCAAUCCUAAUCCUAGCCCAAAUAGUGAAGCCCAAAACAAAUAAACCCACCACUCUCUUUACUUGUUCCAACUUCACGUAAAAACAAAAAACAAGAAAACCUCAAAAUAUAUCUCUCUCCCUGCUGCAAAUUCACGUGAACCCUCAACCUCCAUUGCUGCUGUUCACGCCACCGGACCACCACCUGCACGACACCGGCUUCUCUCACCCGCCGUCGCCGUGCAACCACCACUGCCCACCGUACAACGCCAGCCGCUCCCUUGCCGCACCGCCUGGCUGCACCGGACGUCAGUCGUCGUCCUCCGCACGAUGAGCCAUUCUUUCUUGUUCCUCUCAGCGCACACAUCAUCGGCGCACACAACCACCGUCGCACCGUCGGCCUCCGCGACCACCGUGCUUGCUGCCGCGUAUUCCGUCGCCGACCAGCCUCCCUUGUCUCCACUUUUGGCGGAGAAUUCUCUGUAGGCAACUUUUGAAAGUGUUAAAGUGACCUAUCAAUUUGUUUACACAAGAUCAUGGCUAUGCCUUAUUGAUCAUGUGAUGACCCGUUUUGGUGAGCAGUCUCUAAAGAUCAAUAAGCGUUACCCAUCUACAGGUUUGAAGAUGAUGCAUCAUUGGGAUCGGGAUUAGAGAGCUUGUAUUUAGUUUUGAUUCGCUAAGUUGAAUUUGGUUUGUUUAAUUGGACUCUAAACUUGUUGAACUAGCUACAUUGACUUUAUUUCCAUUGAUUGGUUUUGGAAUUAACUCUGUAGUUGAUUAUUAUAAACCUAAAGUUAGUUUUAUGUUUUUCGCUACAAAAUUCUGAAUAAGCCGUUACGUUUUCACAAGGGCGAUAAUACUUUGAUAAUUCUUUAUAGUUAUAUUUAUUAAAAAGGUUAUUCUAGAAAAUGAAGAAUUGUCGGGGUGUUACAGUGCCCACUAGCGCACAGGCCAACAACUAGUUAUGAUUGAUAUGCUUGAGAUCCCGAGCUUGAGCAUAGUUUGAGAGCAACCCCUAUGAAGUUGAUUGAUUGUAUUGUUAGUGACGGUUUUGAUUAAUAAUAUACAACUUGGUACGUGGGUAUACCAUGUUAAUUAUAUUGUGUGUGCUUUGUCUAGAUUGUUAUCUCGUACUGUCCCUAACAUGCCUCAUGUAACAUGCAUUGUAAUUAUGCUUACUAAUAUGGAGUACUAUGGUAUCAAAGUUUGGUUAAUGUAUCAGUUCAUAUCCAGUAACUUUUCAAUAUCAAUGAUUUCUUCUAAUUAUUUGGAUAAUGACACGGUGUUCAAGUACAUUUUUGAAAUUGACAUAUAAAAAUAAGCAUGCCCAAUGCAUCUAAAAAUUAAUCUACAACAAAUAUUAUAAUUUAUACCUAAUUGAUACUAAUUAACCUUUCGAUUAUACAAAUUAUUGUGUUUGUCAAAGUUUGAUGAAGUGAUUAGUCAAUUUUUGUCAAAGUUGGAAUAUUGAUGUCAAUAAUAUGAUCCUUAAGUAUUGUGUUAAGUUACAGACGCUUCUCUUAUCUAGAUAAGAACAUAGUUUCAAAUACGUUAUAAUAAAUUGUAAAGGAUAAAUGAGCAUGAAAAAUAGAUCUUAAUUACAAACACCAUUAUUGUGCCUAUGUAAACUUAAUUGAUAACUAGUUAGGAAAUAUGAUCUACGCUUGUGCACUGUUGUUUCCUUUAUUGUUUCAUAAAGUUAUGAGGAUUUGCUUCCUGACCGAUUUUUUUUACUGAAGGGACCGUCUCGUUUUUUGUAAUCUAUAUAUAAAGCAUUUGGAUAUCUACACAAAGACGAGCUUUGCAUAAAAAAAAUACAAGUACUCCAGUUUACAACCAUUAGUCAUUCGUUUUGAUUAUUCUAGCUAAUUCCUCGUGAACUUUGACCAUGGCUUUUUACGUAUUAUUUUUACGAUAUAUGUUUGUAUUCAUCGCGCACGGUCCAACAACUAGUGAUUUAGAAGGGUGUGAUUGGGAAGUGACCGAGCGAUGUGGUUAGCAAGACAAUUCGUUGAUUGGUCUGACUAGGCUACAAUGGCAUAACCACAUUAGUUUUGCGAACCACUAAAGUAGGAUCUAGGAAAAUUUUGAUUUUCCAAACUGAUUUCAACUUUCAAGAAGCUUCACAAAAGUCUCGUGAGACAACUUUCAUUUUCUAAAAGCCCACGAAAAAUGGCAACCC